CCUACGGGAGGCAGCAGUGGGGAAUAUUGGACAAUGGGGGCAACCCUGAUCCAGCCAUGCCGCGUGUGUGAAGAAGGCCCUCGGGUUGUAAAGCACUUUCAGUGAGGAAGAACGCCUGGUGGUUAAUACCCAUCAGGAAAGACAUCACUCACAGAAGAAGCACCGGCUAACUCCGUGCCAGCAGCCGCGGUAAUACGGAGGGUGCGAGCGUUAAUCGGAAUUACUGGGCGUAAAGCGCGCGUAGGUGGCUUGAUAAGCCGGUUGUGAAAGCCCCGGGCUCAACCUGGGAACGGCAUCCGGAACUGUCAAGCUAGAGUGCAGGAGAGGAAGGUAGAAUUCCCGGUGUAGCGGUGAAAUGCGUAGAGAUCGGGAGGAAUACCAGUAGCGAAGGCGGCCUUCUGGACUGACACUGACACUGAGGUGCGAAAGCGUGGGUAGCAAACAGGAUUAGAUACCCGAGUAGUC
rnacentral:rRNA from 1 species